AACCUGUAACACAAAUGUUGAUUGUUCUUUUCAUUCAGUACUCUGUGUUGUGUUGUGAAUGGAACUCACUGAAGUUUAAGCCUUUCUUCUUUGUACCAUAUCAUAUAACGAGCCUUACAGUUCACCUCGCAUUGAAUGAAAUGGCGAACAUUGGAGUUUUACUUUACGAGUUUUAUGUUGCUGUCAUUUUUAUUUUUUGGAACUUUGACAAAGCUCUAACAGCAGUGAUCCAAACACAGCAGACUGUGCUGGCAGCAGUGGGAGAAGAUGCUGAAUUCAGCUGUCAGCUGUUGGAGACUAAAGACGUCCUUCAGGUCACAUGGCAGAAAGUCUUACAAGAUGUGGAGACAAAUGUUGCCACGUACAACAAGUACUUUGGUCAGAGAGUGAAUGAUGGCUUUAAAGAUAAAGUCAAGUUUAAAUACACUGGACUACAGAACUGCUCCAUAGUCGUCAGGAAUGUGACGGAGCAGGAUGAAGGCUGCUAUCGCUGUCUGUUUAACACUUAUCCUGAAGGAGCCUUCACAGGUAGAACCUGCCUCCAAGUUUAUGAGCUGCAUGAACCUGUUGUUGGUGUCAGAGAGUCAAACUCUACUGAAGAGUGGGUUGUUUCCUGUUCAGCCACUGGUCGACCUGCUCCCACUGUAACACUCAGUGUCUCACAACAAGACCUCAGCUUCUCACAGUACAACACUGUCAGUGUGUCCAACACCAACGCUACAUUCACUGUCACCACUACAGCUGUGCUCUCAGGUUCACGUAAACACAGCACACAGGUGGGAUGUGCAGCACGAGUGCUCUCUGCUCCUCACAGAGAGGUGAUGGUGACGAUUCCUGAUGAUGAUGGUAGUGGUGAUGGUGAUGAUGAUGAUGAUGAUGAUGAUGGUCUAGAUGAAAACUUUGGAUCUAAACGCAGAAAUUUAGCAGUCAGGAUUUCAGUCAUUCUGUCCUCUGUGUUGCUGGUUGCCUUUAGUUGUGUUGCUGCAUUCAUCUUUGUCCAUCAUAGAACAAAAUCUCACAACAGGAAUCUCAAGAUAAAUAAGACACCUGAAACUAAGAUCAGAGACAGUCAGGAGACUGAAGCAUCUUUAUUCACAGCAGAGGGCAGCGAGGUCAGAAACGAAGGAGAGUCUGAGAGAAAUCACCAAGACAACAACCUGAUGUUCUCAUCAGAAGCAGCAGGAAGACUGAAUUUUGAGCAGUGCUGAACAAAUGUAUUGUUGAUGUGACUGGAGAUUAAAAACAUCUUUGUGUUAUAAACCACUGAUGUGAUUAUGUUAAUAGUUUACCGACAGGUUAUUAUUAUUAUUCAGUUAUCAUUGAUGCUGAUAUAAUGAUGCAUUGUGUCACUUUACAUGUAUGAAAUGAAGAUUUAAGUAUUGUUUCAAGUUGCCGUUUAGGUGCAGAUAUGAUGCAGCGGGUGGAGUUCAACAUCAGCGUGUGACGGCUGAAAUAGUUUAGGAUCAUCAACCUGCAGCUGACUUGCAAAUAAAUGUGACCAAUGGCUAAAGACAGAGAGAGAGAAACCACGCAUCUAGUUCAUGCAUUGGUGGUUAGACUCCGAUGGUCCAGCGCAGCAGAACACAAUCACAGCUGUGAUAGCGAUUAGGGCAGGACCCCCAGAGUAUAGAUGCUGGUGGUGGAGAUGAAGAUGGAGGCUUGAAUGGCACCUGAGAGA